AAGAAAAUAUUAAAAAAAGAAAAAUAUAAUUUUUACAAGAAAUCAUGUUGGGCAUUAAAAUAAUAUUUCUUGGUAUUACGGUUAUACAACUAACCAUGGUGGUGGGAGAAUUGGUUAUUGACUACAAAGCUGGCUAUCACAGGAAUAGGAGGACCGCUGACCACUUAUAUCGUGAAUUUCAGCUGAGGGCAGCUACAAUCAACCAAGAGCCACGUAUUGCAACUGAUUUAUUGGCAUUAAUUGGACACUUAAGAAACUAAGUUAAUUUGUCCAAAAAAAGGUUGGUUGAUGUGGAACUCGAAGUGAUGCUCCUUUCUUAGUAAGCGAAGAUGUCAGCGAAAUUGUUAUCAGGUAGCGUUAGUAGCCAGAAAUAUAUUUUCUAAACUGCUUUUGCCAAUGGAAGAGUAUUUUUAAACAUAAUAAAUACAUACAAUAGCUAUUUUCUUGU